CCUACGGGAGGCAGCAGUGAGGAAUAUUGGUCAAUGGACGAGAGUCUGAACCAGCCAAGUAGCGUGAAGGAUGACGGCCCUAUGGGUUGUAAACUUCUUUUAUAAAGGAAUAAAACGAGGCACGUGUGCCUUUUUGCAUGUACUUUAUGAAUAAGGAUCGGCUAACUCCGUGCCAGCAGCCGCGGUAAUACGGAGGAUCCGAGCGUUAUCCGGAUUGAUUGGGUUUAAAGGGAGCGUAGAUGGGUUGUUAAGUCAGUUGUGAAAGUUUGCGGCUCAACCGGAAAAUUGCCAUUGAUACUGGCAGUCUUGCGUACAGUUGAGGUAGGCGUAAUUCGUGGUGUAGCG
rnacentral:rRNA from 1 species